rfam:Microgenomates (Woesebacteria) bacterium GW2011_GWA1_39_8 TT61_C0014, whole genome shotgun sequence.
CGUCAGCGGCAACGCCGGGUAGCUACAUUCCUAAGGGAUAACCGCUGAAAGCAUCUAAGUGGGAAGCCUACCCUGAGAUUAGGACUCUUUAUUAGACCCCGAGAAGAAGACUCGGUAUACCGGCAGGCGGUGGAAGGGCAGUAAUGCCUUAAGCCUACCUGAUACGGAUUGGUCAAAUUCAGACUUUU